rnacentral:tRNA from 1 species
GCUUCCUUAGUUCAAUGGAUAGAACAAGACACUUCUAAUGUUUAAAUGAAAGUUCGAUUCUUUCAGGAAGUA